AGUGAACGCUGGCGGUAGGCCUAACACAUGCAAGUCGAACGGCAGCACGGGAGCAAUCCUGGUGGCGAGUGGCGAACGGGUGAGUAAUGUAUCGGAACGUGCCCAGUCGUGGGGGAUAACGUAGCGAAAGCUACGCUAAUACCGCAUACGCUCUGUGGAUGAAAGCGGGGGACCGUAAGGCCUCGCGCGAUUGGAGCGGCCGAUAUCAGAUUAGGUAGUUGGUGGGGUAAAGGCCUACCAAGCCGACGAUCAGUAGCUGGUCUGAGAGGACGGCCAGCCACACUGGAACUGCUAGACGGCCCAGAGGCCGACGUGAGGAAGCAGUGGGGAAGUUUGGACAAUGGGCGCAAGCCUGAUCCAGCAAUGCCGCGUGCAGGAUGAAGGCCUUCGGGUUGUAAACUGCUUUUGUGCGGGGCGAAAAGGCUCUCUCUAAUACAGGGGGCUCAUGACGGUACCGUAAGAAUAAGCACCGGCUAACUACGUGCCAGCCGCCGCAGUAA
rnacentral:rRNA from 1 species